GCCGGGAUGGCGGAAUCGGUAGACGCGGAGGUCUCAAAAACCUCUGAGCCUUAGGCUCUUGCGGGUUCGACUCCCGCUCCCGGCA
rnacentral:tRNA from 1 species